CGCGCUGCUCAUCCCAGAUUGGCAACGCCGGCGGAAAUUACACAGAGGCGGCGCGCCGUCGCUGGACGCUCGCCGCGUAAAGCGCGGCCUCGUUGAGAGACACAACAUUGGAGCUUCCUUCGGCAAGGCCGACGCUCGCGGCUCGUCCACGCUGACGUGUCGUGCGAUAGGUGUUUAUAUUUUAUUUAAGCUAGCCGAUACAGCGACGGCUUGACAGCGAGUGGCAACGUCAGGAGUUCAACACGCACGUAGGGAUCCACAGAGGGGGAAUCAUGGGUCUCAACUCCAAGCUGGUGUUCUCAGCUCUCGUGACGCUUUUUCUCCUUGGCGUGAAUGAGGCAUCGUUGGAAGAGACAUCCAAAGAAGACUUACCGGAGUACUGCUCAAAAGGAGGCGAGAUUGACUGGAUGGCUGUUCUCGGCAAAGCCUUCGAACUAUACCAAAGCUACUCGUCGAAGCAAACAGCUUCAAGGCCGCGCACAUCCGUUAGAAGAAAUGCUAGUAGCCGCCCUUUCACAAAAGACAGAUAGUGCGGUGCCGCCAUCAACCGGUGAAUCCGCUGCAAAGGCUGAUGCCAAGGACAGUGCUGGUCAACCGGACAUCUCGGCUGCCCUUCUUGGAUCUCUACUUUCGAACCUAGGGAACGCUGGUGCAUCCCUCCCGAAAUUCAGCUGACGCUGAUCCAAUGGCUGGUCUCAAGACCAUGCUCGAUGGACUCGGUGCGUUGAAUGGACAAAGAAUCGUCUUCCGGAAGUGCAGGAGGUCUCGACCUCUCCAAGCUGGCGCCUUUAAUCAUGCAAGGACUACCGUCUCUACUUGGUUCCCAGGGUAGCGGUUCGCAGGCGAGCGUCUUGUCUCUGUUAGGCUCGCUUAUGGGAAACCAGCAAGGGGGACAAGGUCUAGAGAAAAUGUUUUCUCAAUUGCUCAAGAGCAUUUUCAGUCCGGACAGGCAAGCGAAGAAUGGCAACCUCGCAGAAGGAUUGGAGCCGGCUCUGUCGGGCGUUAUAGAAUCUCUUCUCAAGGCUGGCCUUAAGGAGGAUACAACAAAGGACGCAACCAAAGAUACUGAAAGCUCUACAUUACGAACAGAACUAUAAUUUAAUAAAUUAUUUUUGUGAAUAUACCUUU